rnacentral:rRNA from 1 species
ACAUUUCUUUUUGAAUAUUUAUAUAAAGUUUAACCUGCUCAAUGAAUAAUUAAAUAGCCGCAGUAUUUUGACUGUGCAAAGGUAGCAUAAUAAUUAGUCUUUUAAUUGAAGGCUGGAAUGAAUGGUUGGACGAAAUAUUGACUGUUUCAUGUAAAAUUAGUAUAGAAAUUUAUUUUUUAGUAAAAAAGCUAAAAUAAUAUUAAAAGACGAGAAGACCCUAUAAAUCUUAAUAUUUAUUAAUUAUAUAUUUAUUAGAAAUUAAUUAAUAUAUAUUUAUUAUAUAUUUUAUUGGGGUGAUAUUAAAAUUUAAUAAACUUUUAAUUAUAAUUAACAAAAAUUAUUGAAUUUAAUGAUCUUGUUUUAUGGAUUAAAAGAAUAAGUUACUUUAGGGAUAACAGCGUAAUUUUUUUGGAGAGUUCAUAUUGAUAAAAAAGAUUGCGACCUCGAUGUUGGAUUAAGAAAAAUUUUAGGUGCAGAAGUUUAAAAAAUUAAGUCUGUUCGACUUUUAAUUUC